GAGAGGCGCCGGGCAGCUCAGCCCCCUCGCCCCACUUCAGAGAGCGCCGCCGGAAAGGGGAGGCGGGAGGAGCGGCUGUAAAAUGUCGCGUCUCUCCCCCGCCACACACCUGCAAGCAAAGCGGGGAGCGAUCCGCGAGUAGGGCCGGAGACUAUAGCCCUGAAGCCAGGGGCGACCUGGAGCCGGCAACUCGCAGGCUCCCUCUAGCCACCGCAGUUGCAGCGGAGGAGGCGAGCGAGAGCAGCAGCAAGAGGAGGAUUUUUUUCCCUCUCUCUCUCUCUCUUUCAGCCAGUAAUGAGUGUCUGCCCCCUGGCACGGCUGAGCCACAGCGCGGCUGCACACACGCGCACACGGUAUAAAUAAGUUAAGGGAGACGCAGUGGGAGCUCCCCGUCUGGCUCAGCCCAGCAGGCAGGAGGGGAACCUCCCCCCCGGCGCCAUGGCGUGCGUGGCCGGCUGCCGCUGCUGCACGGAGCGCCGGAGGCAGAGCAGCAUCCUCUACAACAUCCUGAAGAGCGAGGAGCAGAAGGGGGCAGCGCAGCAGCCGCCGCAGGAGCCUCCGGGGCCGGGCUGCUCGUGCGGCUCGCGGCGGCGCGUGGCCCUGCGCAGCCCGCAGGUGGCGGGCAAGGCGGCCUCGGCCGUGCUGGUGAAGACCCUGCGCUUCGUCAAGAGCGUGCCCUGCUUCCAGGAGCUGCCGCUGGACGAGCAGCUGGUGCUGGUGCGCAGCUGCUGGGCUCCGCUGCUGGUGCUGGGGCUGGCCCAGGAGCGGGUGCACUUCGAGACGGUGGAGACCGCGGAGCCCAGCAUGCUGCAGCGGAUAUUAACCGACCGGCGGCAGGAGCAGCACCCCCAGAGCAGCAGCCCGCAGCUGCCCUCGGCCGGCGAGAUCCAGGCCAUCAAAGGCUUCCUGGCCAAGUGCUGGAGCCUGGACAUCAGCACCAAGGAGUACGCCUACCUCAAGGGGACUGUGCUCUUCAACCCGGAUCUGCCAGGGCUGCAGUGUGUACAGUAUAUCCAGGGACUGCAGAGGGAAGCACAGCAAGCUCUAAAUGAACACGUAACACUGAUUCAUCGAGGGGACCAGGCCAGAUUUGCCAAGCUGAAUGUUGUUCUUUCCUUGCUGAGAUCCAUUAAUGCUAACGUAAUUGCUGAACUAUUCUUUAGGCCCAUCAUUGGAACAGUGAACAUGGAUGACAUGCUGCUGGAGAUGCUUUGUGCAAAGUUAUAAAGGCAUGUAUACAAAUAAAUCCAUUACUAAGGAAUUCCUAGAGCAGAAUAGUGUAAAGUACUGUAAAUAAACCAACUUAUUCUUUUUACAUAGAUAGUAUUUUUGUAUUCAGUAAAAAUGUUCAAGUUCUGACAUUUUUAUUAAACUUACUGUUUUCAGAAUAGGAUGUACAGCCAUGAAAAUAGAUGCUUUUUAAACCAUUAAUGAAGAGGUUUUAGUUUCCAAAGUGAGAUGAAUAUUCUCUGUCUUUGAAUAAAGGUCACACUGAUCUGUGUUGUUUUCAAAAUGAGCAACCCCCACUUUUUCCCAAAGCAUUGUUGUUUCACAUUUUAACACAUUUAUUUGGAAAGCCAAAAAUAGGAUAAAAGAGCCAAAUUACUUUGCACAUUUCAGUUCCAUUAAAUAAGAUACCUUAGUCACAGCGAUCUUUGUAGUUGAACUAUGGGACUCAGCCAUAACCGCUGAAGUCAGUAAAGUCUCUGACUAUAUCAGGCUUUGGAUCAGGUCUGUAUUGAAUAGUUAAGAGAACCAUUUACCUACGGGCUUGUGUACAUUGGGAAAUUGACCAGAAUAGCUAUUGCAUAAUAAAUUAUUGUGCAAUAGUUAUUCUGGAAUAGCUCCUUGCGUGGACACUAUUGUGAAAUAAAGUCACUUUAUUCUGGAAUAAUUAGUAUGCUUCCAAAACAGAGUAAUUGUUCUGGAAAAAAAUCACCGUUCAUUACCAUAAAAAUUACUCCACAAUAUCUAUUCCAGUCAGUUUUCCCAUAUAGACAAGCCUUUAGAUAAUGUGUUGCAAACAUUUCAAAAUUGAUUGUUAAGAGUAAUUCAGAUACUUCCAAAGCCUGUGGCAAAACAUUAAAUUUAACAUAUGUUGGACUCUGGGGAAAAAGAACUAUGGCCUGGUCUACGCUGGUGGUGGGGGAGUUUCGAUCUAAAAGUUACACAACUUCAGCUACGUGAAUGACGUAGCUGAAGUUGACGUACUUAGAUCUACUUACCAUAGUGUCUUCACCGCGGUGAGUUGAUUGCUUUCACUCCCCCGUCUACUCUGCCUGUGCCUCUUGCCAAGCUGGAGUACAGGAGUCGAUGGGAGAGCGCUUGGGGAUCGAUUUAUCGUGUCUAGACUAGAUGCGAUAAAUUGAUCCCUGCUGGAUCGAUUGCUGCCCGCCGAUCCGGCUGGUAGUGAAGACAAACCCUCAGUCUUCUAAACACAGCAAACUCUUUACAAAGUCCCAAGAACUGUUGGUAGACCACAGACAGUUGAUUUGUUUCCCCCCUUGGCAUUUGCUAUAAAAACUAGAAUUCAGUGGGCCAAAUUCUGAUCUUGGUUCCACCUGCGGAAACAUAAAAUUACUCCACUGAAAGUAUGGAGUUACUCUGGAUUUACCUCACUGUUACUGCAAUCAGAAUCUGGCCCACUGUGCUUAGUAACCUAUACAUGACUCACUUAGGUUUUAAAUUCAUUUUCCUUAUUUGUUUGUCUUAGCCUAUUGACUGUGCCCUCAACAUUCUUUUUGUUCCUUCUUUGCUAGUUUGUUUAUAUUAUCAAGGACAAAUCAAAGUCAGAAAAUGAAAAAAACACUUGUUAGAUCAUGUAGUCCACCUUUCUGCUAAUGUGAAUAGUUCCCUAUAGCAAAUCAUUCCCGUUCUCUGAUUUUCCCAGUCCCAGCGCUCUGCAGCAAAAAUUUAAAAGGCAUAUAACAUUAAGGAUCCAUUCCACACUAGGACAAUAACCCACUGCUGACAAUGGCUGGCUGCAAUAAGUUCUCCUAGCCAUUGAAAAUGGUUUAGUUUUAAUGUAGAUGAGGGAGUGCGGAAACAAAAGAAACAUUUUCAACAGGGAAAGUAUGAUGAUUAUCAAGGACCAUGUUGAAAACAGUUUUGGCCAAUCUAUAUUAUUAGCUAGGCACUUCCAAUUCCUGCGGAAGAGGAGAGCUGGCAUGGUCGGAGGAAACAUGUUGGUGACAGUCAUUAUUGGCAAUGGAUCAUUUUCCUAGUUAUAAGCAGCAGUUUGCUCUUACAAAUAAACUAUGGACACACAACACCAACUGAGCAAUAUCUAUUUUGCACCCAAAGAAGAGGCCAUGCAAAUAAAGUGUGUAUUUUCUGAAAUGA